ensembl:lncRNA
CUGUAACAAUUUACAUUCCCGCCAACAGUUUACAAGGGUUCCCUUACUUUAUGUACUCAUUAACAUUUGUUAUUUGUGUUUUUUCUUUUCCACUAUGAUUUAUUAUAAGAUAUUGAAAACAGUUUCUUGUGCUAUACCUCUUGCCCUCUUGAGGAAGGACAGGAUCAAGAAGCAAGAGCUAACUUUGGCUGAUGCUUGAUAUGUGCCAUAUGGUGCUAGGACAUCUUGUAUAUAUUAUCACAUUCAAUCCUCAUGUAAUCCUACAGAAUAGGAUCUACACAUACCUAUAAAAGACAUAGAGAAUACAAAGACAAAUAAGCCUGGACCUUCUGUCAUGAAACUCACAGUCUAAAGGCGGUCUUCUGGAAUUGUUGGAGCCAGCCAGCCAGUGAACACCAUCAGUUUUCACUUUAAUAAAACCAUCAGUGAACCAGUCUUAGGCAUUUAGGAGAACUUCUGCAAAUCAAGGGCCCAAGUGAGCUAGUGAGGGGAGAAAGUUUUCACAUAAAGUUGGCUUAUCACUAAAGCCAGCCCAGCUAUGCACUUAAAUAUACCAUUUCCACUUGACUAGCAAGGCCUUUUGAAUCUUCC